UAUUAUUUAAAAUGUAAAUUUAUACACUUAAGUAGUAAUAGUUAUGUUCUUGAAACUUAAAAAAUUUGGCGGUAUUUUAGUCUACCCAGAGGAACCUGUUUUGUAAUCGAUAAUCCACGAUGGACCUUGCUUAAAUUUGUAACCAGUUUAUAUACCGUCGUUAUCAGAAUAUUUUAUAAGAAUAAUAAUAUUCAAUAAUUUUUAUAAAAAUUUAUAUCAGAUCAAGGUGUAGCUUAUAUUUAAGUAAUAAUGGGUUACAAUAAAUAUAUUUAUACGGAUAAAAUUAUGAAAAAAUUUUUGAAGGUGGAUUUGGUAGUAAAAUUAUAAAGAUUAAUAAUUUGAUUUUAGCUCUAAAAUAUGUACACAUCGCCCGUCGCUCUUAUUAUUAAGGUAAGAUAAGUCGUAACAUAGUAGAUGUACUGGAAAGUGUAUCUAGAAUGA
rnacentral:rRNA from 1 species